UACAGAGGUCCCGAGCGUUGUUCGGAUUCACUGAGCGUAAAGGGUGCGCAGGUGGUUUGGCAAGUUUGAUGUGAAAGCCCCGGGCUUAACCCGGGAAUGGCAUUGAAUACUGCUUGAACUGGAGGGUUGGAGGGGGGACUGGAAUUCUUGGUGUAGCAGUGAAAUGCGUAGAUAUCUGGAGGAACACCGGUGGCGAAGGCGGCAUCCUGGACCGGCAUUGACGCUGAGGAGCGAAAGCCAGGGGAGCAAACGGG
rnacentral:rRNA from 1 species